ensembl:snoRNA small nucleolar RNA, C/D box 45A
GGCCGGUGAUGUGACGGCAUGUAUUACCUGAAGGCCGAGCUGAUGCAUAACUCACUUAGCUCUAGAAUUACUCUGAGGCCUA